GAUGAACGCUGGCGGCGUGCCUAAUACAUGCGAGUCGAACGGACAGGCCCUGCGUUUGCGGGGUUCACGAUAGGCGAACGGGUGAGUAACACGUGAGUAUCCUCUCCCUGUCUUUGGGAUAACUUCAGGAAACUGGGGCUAAUACCGCAUAGGAUCUCCUGCUGCAUGGUGGGGGUUGGAAAGUUUCGGCGGUGGGGGAUGGUCUCGCGGCUUAUCAGCUUGUUGGUGGGGUAGUGGCUUACCAAGGCUUUGACGGGUAGCCGGCCUGAGAGGGUGACCGGCCACAAUACGCCUGCGGUACGCACCAGUAGCCUACCUGACGCAGUGGGCGGGAGCCUUGCAGAACGGCGCGAAGCGUGAUGCGGCAACCCCGCGUGCGUAAUGCCGUCCUUCGAGUUGUAAACAGAUUUCGCAUGUACCGAGCCCUGAGUGACGGUACUGGGUAAAGAAGCACCGGCUAACUACGUG
rnacentral:rRNA from 1 species